rnacentral:rRNA from 1 species
UACGUAGGGGGCAAGCGUUGUCCGGAAUCAUUGGGCGUAAAGAGCGUGUAGGCGGUCCGGUAAGUCGGCUGUGAAAGUCCAGGGCUCAACCCUGGGAUGCCGGUCGAUACUGCCGGACUAGAGUUCGGAAGAGGCGAGUGGAAUUCCCGGUGUAGCGGUGAAAUGCGCAGAUAUCGGGAGGAACACCUAUGGCGAAGGCAGCUCGCUGGGACGUUACUGACGCUGAGACACGAAAGCGUGGGUAGCAAACAGG